rnacentral:rRNA from 1 species
UACGAAGGGGGCUAGCGUUGCUCGGAAUCACUGGGCGUAAAGCGCACGUAGGCGGACUCUUAAGUCGGUGGUGAAAUCCUGGAGCUCAACUCCAGAACUGCCUUCGAUACUGAGAGUCUCGAGUCCGGGAGAGGUGAGUGGAACUGCGAGUGUAGAGGUGAAAUUCGUAGAUAUUCGCAAGAACACCAGUGGCGAAGGCGGCUCACUGGCCCGGUACUGACGCUGAGGUGCGAAAGCGUGGGGAGCAAAUAGG